UAUGAAGAACGUAGCGAAAUGCGAUACGUAAUGUGAAUUGCAGAAUUCAGUGAAUCAUCGAAUCUUUGAACGCAUAUUGCGCUCUCUGGUAUUCCGGAGAGCAUGCUUGUUUGAGUAUCAGUAAACACCUCAACUCCCUUUUCUUUUUUGAAAUGGGAGCUGGACUUGAGUGAUCCCAACACUUUUCUCACUGGAAAGUGGCGGGUCACUUGAAAUGCAGGUGCAGCUGGACUUUUCUCUGAGCUAUAAGCAUAUCUAUUUAGUCUGCCUAAAAAACAGAUUAUUACCUUUGCUGCAGCUAACAUAAAGGAGAUGAGUUCUUGUGCUGACUGAUGCAGGAUUCACAGAGACAGCUUUGCGGCUGACUUUGUAAACUCGAUCUCAAAUCAAGUAAGACUACCCGCUGAACUUAAGCAUAUCAAUAAGCGGAGGA
rnacentral:misc_RNA from 1 species